GAUGAACGCUAGCGGCAGGCCUAAUACAUGCAAGUCGAGGGGUAACAUGAGAGCUUGCUCUUGAUGACGACCGGCGAACGGGUGCGUAACGCGUAUGGAACUUACCUCGAACUAUGGGAUAGCCCCGGGAAACUGGGAUUAAUACCGUAUGAUGUAAUUGAAUCGCAUGAUUUAAUUAUUAAAGAUUUAUCGGUUCGAGAUGGCCAUGCGUGACAUUAGCUAGAUGGUGAGGUAACGGCUCACCAUGGCUACGAUGUCUAGGGGGUCUGAGAGGAUGAUCCCCCACACUGGUACUGAGACACGGACCAGACUCCUACGGGAGGCAGCAGUAGGGAAUAUUGGUCAAUGGGCGAAAGCCUGAACCAGCCAUGCCGCGUGCAGGAGGACGGCCCUCCGGGUUGUAAACUGCUUUUAUAUGGGAAGAAACCCUCCGAUUUAUUGGAGGCUGACGGUACCAUAAGAAUAAGGAUCGGCUAACUACG
rnacentral:rRNA from 1 species